GGGGGCCGUGCUCCGGGGCCGGGGCGGCGGGGGACCGCGGCGCGAGCCUCAGAUAGCAUCAGAAACAGCAGCAGCAAUGUUUCACUUCUUCAGGAAGCCUCCGGAGUCUAAAAAGCCCUCAGUACCAGAGACAGAAGCAGAUGGAUUUGUCCUGUUAGGAGAUACAGCAAAUGACCAAAGAAUGGCAGCAGGAGGUAACAGUUCAGGAGCAGAAGGCACCCAACCUUUGG